ACUCUUACCUGGCACAAGAAAUAUCAUGAUCAUGAAGGUGGAUUACCCAUAGCAAGGCUUAUUGCACUCAGAAUGUGCUGACUCCGUGCAAUUUCUCCGACUGCUGGAAAACUUUACUGCAUAUUUUGUGGUAAUGGGGAGACUGAGUUUGUGUUCUUCU